GAUGAACGCUGGCGGCGUGCCUAAUACAUGCAAGUCGAGCGAACAGACGAGGAGCUUGCUCCUCUGACGUUAGCGGCGGACGGGUGAGUAACACGUGGAUAACCUACCUAUAAGACUGGGAUAACUUCGGGAAACCGGAGCUAAUACCGGAUAAUAUAUUGAACCGCAUGGUUCAAUAGUGAAAGACGGUUUUGCUGGCACUUAUAGAUGGAUCCGCGCCGCAUUAGCUAGUUGGUAAGGUAACGGCUUACCAAGGCAACGAUGCGUAUCCGACCUGAGAGGCUGAUCGGCCGCACUGGAACUUAGACACGGUCCAUACUCCUACGGGAGGCAGCAGUAGGGAAUCUUCCGCAAUGGUCGAAAGCCUGACGGAGCAACGCCGCGUGAGUGAUGAAGGUCUUCGGAUCGUAAAACUCUGUUAUUAGGGAAGAACAAAUGUGUAAGUAACUAUGCACGUCUUGACGGUACCUAAUCAGAAAGCCACGGCUAACCACGUG
rnacentral:rRNA from 1 species